UGGUACCCUUGGUUCCAUUUCUGGUUUCAUCCAUUUUGCCGGGCCAACAGAAGUCACGGCCUCCGAGAGGAGUCCAACAAUACUGGAACGGUCCGUCGAGGAGCCGAGAUACUGGCCCGCAAAGUCAGCUAUGGGAACGAACCUGUUGC